rnacentral:lncRNA from 1 species
GAUGGCGUCGUGGCAGGUUGAUGAGCAGGCCCCACGUGUGGAUCCACGUCAUCACGGGGUCAGGCGUAUUAAUGGAAGUUCUGAAGCUUUGGACCUAUAUGGGACAAUUAGCAAUUUGGGGACUUCAAUCUGUGUUUUAGAAGUUUGGAAACCUAAAUGACACAAGUUUAGGAACGUGCAUUUUACUCUUAAAUCAAUGAUGUGCUCUACUAAACAAAGCCAAGUUAUU